GUGCUGCUCUGGCAGAACGUGCAGCACAUUUGCUGAAAUUGGAACCAAAGAAGACCAGCAUGGCUCCUGUACAAAAGGACAUGCGAAUUUGUGAAGCGCUAUAUAUUUAA
rnacentral:snRNA from 1 species